rnacentral:rRNA from 1 species
CCUACGGGUGGCAGCAGUGAGGAAUAUUGGUCAAUGGGCGGGAGCCUGAACCAGCCAAGCCGCGUGAGGGAAGAAGGUACAGCGUAUCGUAACCCUCUUUUGUCAGGGAACAAAGGUGGGGACUAGUCCCCGGAUGAGUGUACCUGAAGAAAAAGCAUCGGCUAACUCCGUGCCAGCAGCCGCGGUAAUGCGGAGGAUGCGAGCGUUAUCCGGAUUUUUUGGGUUUAAAGGGAGAGUAGGUGGAUUGUUAAGUCAGUUGUGAAAGUUUGCGGCUCAACCGUAAAAUUGCAGUUGAAACUGGCAGUCUUGAGUACAGUAGAGGUGGGCGGAAUUCGUGGUGUAGCGGUGAAAUGCUUAGAUAUCACGAAGAACUCCGAUUGCGAAGGCAGCUCACUGGACUGCAACUGACACUGAGGCUCGAAAGUGUGGGUAUCAAACAGGAUUAGAUACCCCAGUAGUC